CCUAGGAGCCUUUGUGUGUGUCUCCCUCCCUCCCGUCUCCAUCUCUCGAAUGACAAAAGAGGGCGAAUGGCGAGCACUAAAGGGAGAACAAUGAGCAUUGAGGGGUGAUCGACGAACGAUAGGGUCCCGAAACUCUCCUAUUCGGCAUUUCUACAAUUCUAUUCCUUCCAAAAACCAUUUGCGAAGACGAAUGGUGGAAGAUGUUUGGCUCUUGCCUUUCAGAACCUACAAAAAUUGUCUAUUCGUAUUCUCAAUCAGACAUGUCUUCAUCUUUUAACAGCUGAAGUUGAUGUGUAAAUCACCAAAAUUCCUAUGUUGUCUGUGAUGCGUUGAACAUUGAGUUUUGACGAGGAGAUGACUGCUGAUCCAAAAGUUUUCUUGAUCGGAGAAGUAAUGUUUGUAUUUUCUAUUUGAGGCAUUAACAUGUAUGCCACCCAAUUCCUUUUUAUUUAGAUAUGACGCACCCAAUCUUUAUUUUUUUGCAUUUAUACCAUCCAAAUCUUUCUAAUCACACAAAA